rnacentral:tRNA from 1 species
GCGUCCAUUGUCUAAUGGAUAGGACAAAGGUCCUCUAAAUCUUUGGUAUAGGUUCAAAUCCUAUUGGACGCA